rnacentral:rRNA from 1 species
UACAGAGGUCUCGAGCGUUAGGCGGAAUCGCUGGGCUUAAAGCGUGUGUAGGCGGAUCGUUAAGUGCCUUGUGAAAUCCCACGGCUCAACCGUGGAACUGCUUGGCAUACUGGCGGUCUUGAGCAACCUAGGGGCGAGCGGAACAAAUGGUGGAGCGGUGAAAUGCGUAGAUAUCAUUUGGAACGCCAAUGGUGAAAACAGCUCGCUGGGGGUUUGCUGACGCUGAGACACGAAAGCCAGGGGAGCAAACGGG